GGCCCGUUAGCCUCGCUGGUUAGAGCGUCGUGCUAAUAACGCGAAGGUCGCGGGUUCGAUCCCCUCACGGGCCA
rnacentral:tRNA from 1 species